rnacentral:rRNA from 1 species
AUCAUUUGACAGUUAGCCACAGAAGAAGCACCGGCCUACCUCCGUGCCAGCCAGCCCGCGGUGAAUACGGAGGGGUGCGUAGCGGUUAAUCGGAAUUACUGGGCGUAAAGCCGCAUGCAGGUGGGUUUGUUACAGUCAAGAUAGUGAAAGCCCUGGGCUCAACCCUCCGGAACUUGCAUUUGAAAACUGGCAGACUAGAGUACUGUAGAGGAGGGGUAGAAUUUAAGGUGUAGCGGUGAAAUGCGUAGAGAUUCUGAAGGAAGUACCGCUGGCGAAAGGCGGCCCCCUGGACAGAUACUGACACUCAGAUGCGAAAAGCGUGGGGAGCAAACAGGAUUAGAUACCCUGGUAGUCCACGCUGUAAAACGAUGUCUACUUGGAGGUUGUGGCCUUGAGCCGUGGCUUUCGGAGCUAACGCGUUAAGUAGACCGCCUGGGGAGUACGGUCGCAAGAUUAAAACUCAAAUGAAUUGACGGGGGCCCGCACAAGCGGUGGAGCAUGUGGUUUAAUUCGAUGCAACGCGAAGAACCUUACCUACUCUUGACAUCCAGAGAAGCCAGCGGAGACGCAGGUGUGCCUUCGGGAACUCUGAGACAGGUGCUGCAUGGCUGUCGUCAGCUCGUGUUGUGAAAUGUUGGGUUAAGUCCCGCAACGAGCGCAACCCUUAUCCUUGUUUGCCAGCGAGUAAUGUCGGGAACUCCAGGGAGACUGCCGGUGAUAAACUGGAGGAAGGUGGGGACGACGUCAAGUCAUCAUGGCCCUUACGAGUAGGGCUACACACGUGCUACAAUGGCGCAUACAGAGGGCGGCCAACUUGCGAAAGUGAGCGAAUCCCAAUAAGUGCGUCGUAGUCCGGAUUGGAGUCUGCAACUCGACUCCAUGAAGUCGGAAUCGCUAGUAAUCGUGGAUCAGAAUGCCACGGUGAAUACGUUCCCGGGCCUUGUACACACCGCCCGUCGCACCAUGGGAGUGGGCUGCAAAAGAAGUGGGUAGUUUUAAC